UACAGGGGGUGCAAACGUUGCUCGGAAUCAUUGGGCGUAAAGCGCACGUAGGCGGUUCGUUAUGUCGGAUGUGAAAGCCCUUGGCUUAACCGAGGAAGUGCAUCCGAAACUGGCGAGCUAGAGUACUAAAGAGGAUCGCGGAAUUCCCGGUGUAGAGGUGAAAUUCGUAGAUAUCGGGAGGAACACCGGUGGCGAAGGCGGCGAUCUGGGUAGAUACUGACGCUGAGACACGAAAGCGUGGGGAGCAAACAGG
rnacentral:rRNA from 1 species